AAUUGGAGUUAUCUUCCUUUGUCCAUAAUUGUAGUUGAUUCAAAUACAAUAAUGGACAAAGAAAGAUAACUCCAAUUUCAAUUUU
rnacentral:sRNA from 1 species